GAUGAACGCUGGCGGCGUGCUUAACACAUGCAAGUCGAACGAAGCACUUAAGAUUGAUUCUUCGGAUGACGUCUUUUGUGACUUAGUGGCGGACGGGUGAGUAACGCGUGGGUAACCUGCCUCACACAGGGGGAUAACAGUUAGAAAUGACUGCUAAUACCGCAUAACCCGAUAGGAUCGCAUGAUCCAGACGGAAAAGAUUUAUCGGUGUGAGAUGGACCCGCGUCUGAUUAGCUAGUUGGUGAGGUAACGGCCCACCAAGGCGACGAUCAGUAGCCGGCCUGAGAGGGUGAACGGCCACAUUGGGACUGAGACACGGCCCAAACUCCUACGGGAGGCAGCAGUGGGGAAUAUUGCACAAUGGGGGAAACCCUGAUGCAGCGACGCCGCGUGAGUGAAGAAGUAUUUCGGUAUGUAAAGCUCUAUCAGCAGGGAAGAAAAUGGCGGUACCUGACGAAGAAGCCCCGGCUAACUACGUG
rnacentral:rRNA from 1 species